rnacentral:lncRNA from 1 species
GAGAGAGAGAGAGAGAGAGAGAGAAUGAAUUAAGGAGAGAAUUAAAGAAAGGAAAAAUGGCUGCUCAUUCCACCAAAUGUACAUAUAUACCCCCACCACACACACACACACACACACACCUCUAUGUACUAAUAAUGGCUCUGAAUACAUAGACAUUAACAGACUAGUAAGAGUGAUAGCUGGUAGGCAUAUUGAUAGAUAGGUGAAUGGAUAGACUUAAAAAUAAAAUAGUGAAUACCUUCAAUAGUAAUGAACUGGGAAAAAAAAACCUUAAGUUUUCAAAACCAAAAGUCAUAAGCACACAAUUAUCUUUGGGUCAAGGGGAAGUCAUAUGGUAGGCAGUGUGCAGGGCUCUGAGCUGUCGGUGGCAAGUUUUUACAUGUCACCAUCACUUUGCUUUCUUUCCAUCUGUUCUUGCUCCUUUAUUUUCUCAACCCAUCCCCAUGCCUUCUCUCUUGCCCGUGCCUAGCAGUCACAUCUCAUGCCAUCAGAAACAGAGAAUGAAUGAUAACUGGCCCUAAAUAAAUACCUGCCACCGGAGUAUGUUGACAGGUGGAUUAGAACAACUUCUAGGGGCCCUUCCAUGAUACCUUUUCAACCCAUUGAUACUGGUACCCCAAGCACUAUUCUGAGCCAUCCUCUAAAGGCAGUCCCAACCUAGUUUUACACUUAAGGCAGGACAGAACAGAAUGUUAUAAAUUUGGUAACAUCCAGGCCCUGAGAAGGCUGACUGUAGAGCUACACAUUUCUUGAGUCAUUUCACUGAAUUUGCCUUCCACUCAUCUGAAAACGACUCUAGAGCAAUAAAACUCCCAGAAAAUGCACACAUUUGUGUUUGUCUCUCUUUAGAUCCUUUACAUUUUCUAAGUAUUUUUACAUUUUACAUUUAUUUUCUCAUACCAAUUGGCAUUUCAUGCCUUAAAACAAAAAUUUAAGAGCCUUUGCAAGAAUGUGUAAAUCUUUGUCUUGGAUGGAGUAAGAAAACACAGAAAAAAAGCAGGAGGUAAAUUAUCUUCAAGGAUCUAUUCUCUAAGUCUUAGUGACAGAAAAUAAAAUCUUCAAAAGCCAAGACAUUGCAUUAAAGGAAGGAGCUGUGCUGCCAUGGGGACCCAGCUUUUCCAUUUUUAAGGAAUAUUUAACAAUUUGAAGACAAACCAUACCCACCACUUGUAUAAACCACACCCACCCCUUUCCAUAAAUCCUUUGUCUGCCAAGUAUUGCUGAGUUCAUUUGGACCACCCACAGUGAACUAGCCCGGAGUUGGUUAUCAAAUGUUAUAUUUGGAUCGGAAGUUACACUUGUUGAUUUUCAAAUAAUAAACCCUCUUCUUGAAAUUGUAAAAGUAACUUUUAUUCUCCAGAUGUAAUUGUCGUCUUGGAGGCUUACUGCUGAAUAAACUCACCCUUACUAGUUCUUUCUGAACUCUGACUGGCUGAUCCAACUCAGCUCUUCUGGCUCAAACUCCUCUCCAAGCUGACUGAUGCAAACUUGCUCUUCUCUACUUCUCACUGAACUUCUCUGCUUGGCCUCAAACUAACUCUGGCAAUUUGUUCUAAUCUUCUGGAUCCUUCUUAUUCUCUGGCUUCAACUGCCUCUCCUGGCCUGAACUACACAAAAUGUACAAACUAAAUGGAACUUGUGAACAAACACAACUGAACUCAACUUUUUUGCACAAACUGCACUGACUGAACCAAUUUCCAACUGUCUCUCCCUACACUGCUCUUAAAUUGACUCUCUCUCAUGCCUGUUCUCAUGAGAGUUGGGUGUAUCCUACCUCUGACUCAUUCUGUCAACUCUUUCUCUGAUUUGUUAAUUUUUCUGCCCCUCAAUUAGACAUUACUUUCAAACAUGCUACUUCUACAAAUCAACUCUAUUGUUUGGGAUUAAAGAUGUGUACUAAGGGUGCGCAUGUAUUCUAGCAAGGGAGAUUAAAGGUGUGUCAUGCCAACUAGAUCACACAGACCUAGAAGGUCUUUGGAUGUGAUCCAUUGCCAGAGCAGCCAUGUUGCUAGAUUAAAGAUCCUCAACAUGAAAUCAAGUAAGAACAAUUAAAAUUAAGAAACAAAGUAAAACAGAAGUACAUAGAAAAUAUAGAAGCUACUCUGUGACAAAUGUUAAGGGUUACAAGGUGCAAAGCCAGUGGCCAUUUCUAAAUGAAGAAAAUUAACAGCUAUGUAGAUACCUGAAUAUCCUUUCCCAUUUCAUGGAAUAGUUUCAAAUAGCUUGUUUGCUAGAAUUGUUUUUCUCCCCCAACCCUACCCUAACUGUCCUCUUCUUCUUCCUCCUCUUCCUCUUCCUCCUCCUCCUAAAAUAUGUAGCUGUUGCUGGAAUUUACUAUGUAAACUAUGCUGGCCUUGAAAUCUCAGAGACCCACCCACCUUUGUUUCCCUAGUCCUGAGAUUAAAAGCAAUUAGGCCUGACCUUCUCCUAAUUUUUAACAACCGUCGGGGGAAGAGUAGCUAAAUCAUAGCUGGGUGAUCUUGAGAUCAUGUACAGUGUACUAACUGAAACAGUACUUGAAAGUCAUUUGGGAAACUCAGGACACCUAUGCAGAAAUCAAAUCAAAUUAUUGUUGCAAUUAUUCUGCUUUUGUUAAGUGAUUGGCAAGUGCUACUGGAUUAUCCACAUGCCCUAAUUAAAAUCUACACAGUCCACUUCUGUCCUGCCAGAUCAUUUGAGAAGCCUAACCAAUUCCCUUCUGCCACACCAGCCUCGAGUGUGUGUUUAUUGGCAUUAAUUUGAAAAUGAUUUCUUUAAUAACUUGCACAUGGUAUGAAUGAUUCUUUAAAAACCAAUUUUGUUUCUUAUAUUCUUUGAUGAAUGAUACUCUUAAAAUACAAAACAUUACUCUGAUUGGUAGCUUUCUCUAUGAACUCACUCUACCCUAACUGAACAGCAGCAGUGGCAAAACAUGAGAGUCUCACCAGCCCAUCCAACGGUUGUGACUAUUUACAGAUUUUUAUUAGAAGACCGGGCUCACUCUUGCACAAGCUGUCUGCAUAUGGUUAUAAAUUAUUUAGCUCUCUUAAACAUCUGCCAUUUCCAGUCCUCAGCAGAGACUGACAUUUGUUUCCAUACCAUUGUGCUGCCUCACAAGUUCUACUCAUCUGACAGCUGCAUUGUGUUCCUUGCCCUAUUCUCAAAUGCUCAUGAUUAGAGACAACAAAUCUAGCUCCAGGCAAAGUGCAUGUUCGCCAUUAUGAGUGCCCUUUUAUUCCCUGACCCACAGCAUGUGACUGUUACACUGGUAGGUGAGUCUUCAGCAAUGUAUGGCUUUACCUACAUGUCUAUACAAUGUGUAUGCCUUUAUGCCAGGUGAGCAAAACGAAUAAAUCCAUUCUUAGUAAAGAUGCUAAAUGUUUGGUGAAAAUUAUUAGUGCUUAAAUGUUAAAAAUAAAAUACUUUUAAAAUCUCCUAUUUGAUUUGCUUACAUACCCUCAAUUAUAUUUUUGUUUGCUUAUUUUUGAGAUGGGGAGGUCUCAUAUAGCCCGUACUGGCCUUAAUUUCAUAAUAAUAUUUCUGCUUUUCAUCCUAGGUGCUAGGAUUACCAGCAACAACCAGUGUGCCUUGAUCAUAGUGUCAAUCUUAUAUUUUUAAUGUUUAUUUAUUUAUUUUAGGUAUAUAUGAGCACUGUAGCUAUAUAGAUGGUUAUGAGCCUUUAUGUGGUUGUUGGGAAUUGAAUUUAGGACCCCGCUUACUCCAGUCAGCCCUGCUUACUCCAGCCCAAAGAUUUAUUUAUUAUUAUACAUAAAUACACUGUAGCUGUCUUCAGACCCACAAGAAGAGAGCAUCAGAUCUCAUUAUGGGUGGCUGUGAGCCACCAUGUGGUUGCUGGGAAUUGAACAGCACUCAGUGCUCUUACCUGCUGAGCCAUCUCACUAGCCCACAACAUAUCUUUAACCUUUGACCCAUUGCUAGUAACCAAUGCUCCCAGUGGAAAUCAUCUGACUAAGGUUAUCAGUUGUGUAUAAACAAUAACAUCCGCUGGUUUCCAAGGGGAUUCACUCAUAAGUUUUGAUUUAAGAAUUAAUAAAUUAGCUGAUAGUGGAGCACAGCUUUAAUCCCAGCACUCAGGAGACAGAAGCAGGUAUAUCUCUAUGAGUUCAAGUCCAAGCUAUUGUACAAAGCAAGUUCCAGGACAGUCAGAGCUACACAGAAAAAAGCCCUGUCUC